UGCUUUCUCAAAGGCCCCACAGUCCUCCACUUCCUGGGGAGGUAGCUGCAGAAUAAAACCAGCAGACUCCUUUUCUCCUAACCGUCCCGGCCACCGCUGCCUCAGCCUCUGCCUCCCAGCCUCUUUCUGAGGGAAACGACAAGAUGAAGUGGAAGGCGCUUUUCACCGCGGCCAUCCUGCAGGCACAGUUGCCGAUUACAGAGGCACAGAGCUUUGGCCUGCUGGAUCCCAAACUCUGCUACCUGCUGGAUGGAAUCCUCUUCAUCUAUGGUGUCAUUCUCACUGCCCUGUUCCUGAGAGUGAAGGUGGGUACCACUGGGCUUUGGGAGGAGGGCACGGGGUCCCCCACUUGAUGGAUGUUCAGAGGGGCCUUGGUCUUGGAAGGUCUCAAGCUUGGGUGGUGCCUGGGGCUUGGUAUCCAGGAGCAAAGCAAGGACCAGCCAAGUGUGUGCCUUGAGUGGGCUGAGGAGGAGGUGGCAGUGUCUGGCUGAGAUGGACAGGGUAGGAGGGAGAGCCUGGUGCUAGGCACCUCCAUGACAAGCCGUACAAAUGUGUGCACAUCAGACUGUCCCAGGGAAGGCGAUGCUACUGGUGACAAAGGGGCUUACACUCAGGCAGAGGUCCUUCUUUCCAAGUGUGAAUGAAGGCCAUGUUAGCCUUUCUCUUGAAAAGGCCCUUUCCUCAUCUGUAAUUGGGGGAGCGGACCAGAGCAUGGGUUUUUCACUUGGUGUCUUGCAGACCUUGGGUUUCUUCGUGGGGCUGGUCAUGGUGUGGGCAGAGAUUGGAAGAAUUUAGGAGUAAAGGGGAGAAUCCAGUCCCAGUCAUCACUUCGGUGCUUCUCAACCCAUUUCUUGUUUGAAUUUUGGACUUUGGCAUCAUAUUUUAUUUGAAAAACCAAAUCUUACUGAGUUUCUUGUUUUAAGUUUGAAAAUGCUGCCCUAGAUGAUUUCUAAGGUUGUUUCCAACGCUCUAGAUCUGUAAGACAUUGCAGUUUCUCCCGCCUGAAGCGGCAUGAAGUGAAGCAAGAGUGAGGCUGUGUCAGCUUCCCACAGAUGCUCAGGACACUAAGCGAACGCGAGGCUUCCUGGGCACCGGGG
rnacentral:sRNA from 1 species